rnacentral:rRNA from 1 species
CCAAUAGCGUAUAUUAAAGUUGUUGCAGUUAAAAAGCUCGUAGUUGAAUUUCGGGAUCAAUUAGUCGGUCGUGCCUCUGGUACGUACUGGUUUUAUUGGUUCCUCCCUUCUGACGAAACAUGAUGUCAUUAAUUUGGUGUCGUGGAGAAUCAGGACUGUUACCUUGAAAAAAUUAGAGUGUUUAUAGCAGGCUAACGCUUGAAUACAUUAGCAUGGAAUAAUGAAAUAGGACGUUCGACCCUAUUUUGUUGGUUUCUAGGAUCGACGUAAUGAUUAAUAGGGAUAGUUGGGGGCAUUAGUAUUCAAUUGUCAGAGGUGAAAUUCUUGGAUUUAUUGAAGACUAACUACUGCGAAAGCAUUUGCCAAGGAUGUUUUCAUUAAUCAAGAACGAAAGUUAGGGGAUCGAAGACGAUCAGAUACCGUCGUAGUCUUAACCAUAAACGAUGCCGACCAGGGAUCAGCGGGUGUUACUAAUAGGACCCCGCUGGCACCUUAUG